AUCGAAUCUGAAAGAAUAAAAUUUGACGGAAAAAAAAAGGAUGCUCUAGGAUUGCGUAGUAGUCUGUGAAAGACUACAACUCUAUGGUCAAUAUCGGUGAAAUGUCAAAUUAUUUGACAACAACAAAGACGCAUAAUUUACAAAUAUGUCAUUAAAGAAAAUCAUUAAAUGUUUUAAAAAUGAUAUGAAAACUAAAAAUCACAAAUACAAACAAAUACACAUGGUUACAUAACCUCGUCGUUCCAUGCAUAGGUAAAUCUCCAACUACGUACGAUACGGAUUGGGUUGACAAGUAAUAAAAGCCGUAAAGCCCCGUGCCUGAAAAAUCUUAGCAAACCACCACAGGAUACUGACCGAUACACAACCAAAAAACAAACAACACCAGCCGUUGAUGGAAGG